GUAGGGCGCAAGCGUUGUCCGGAAUUAUUGGGCGUAAAGAGCUCGUAGGCGGCUUGUCAAGUCGGGUGUGAAAGCCCGGGGCUUAACCCCGGGUCUGCAUUCGAUACGGGCUGGCUAGAGUGUGGUAGGGGAGAUCGGAAUUCCUGGUGUAGCGGUGAAAUGCGCAGAUAUCAGGAGGAACACCGGUGGCGAAGGCGGGACUCUGGGCCGAUACUGACGCUGAGGAGCGAAAGCGUGGGGAGCAAACAGG
rnacentral:rRNA from 1 species